rnacentral:lncRNA from 1 species
UACUCAGGAGUCGAGCUUUUGUUCUUUUAAAAGCACAGUUGUAUGUGUGUUUGUAACUUUUUAACCGUCGAGUCGUUUUAAGACUUAUUUAUACACACUAGUAAAACAGGCUUAAUUGAAUACAAUAUUAAUAAUAUUGCGUGACUCUUGAGAUAAUCCGAUGACUAGAAAUUACAAAUAUAAAUAUCUUUGUGUUUUUACCAAGUCUAAAAAAACUCAACUUCUUGGCAUAGAAUAAUAUGGCACCGAGUAUAUAUGUGUUUUUUGUUAAUUAAUUCUCACUCGUUCAUUACCAACCGUCCCCAAGUGGCAAAGGACUUGGUAGUUGGUAUCUGAGACCCGAGUUCGAAUACUAGUCGAUUCACAUUUUCAACUAAGUUUAUUUCAAAAUAAAAUAAACGAAGCGGAUAGCGUACUACCUAUCUCUAAAUCUGGAUGUAUACAUCAUCUUAUACAUCAUCUUAUGCAUCAUCACUAAUAAUAAAUUAAUAAAAAUACUUCUUGUACAUCCAAAAGAGAUAUAAAUCUUACGCACUUAUUAUUCUAAAAUUAAUAAAAAUCUAAAUAUUUUUUAGUAAAAAAAAAAAUUAAUGUAAUAAGUAGAGUAUUAAUAGUCUUGGGAUAAGAGUACCUGUAGCAUUGCUCUUUUAAAUUAUUAUUAUAAUUAAGUUCUAUAAUCUAAUUUAACUAAUUAAAUAUUGAUGUGUGCUAAAGUAAAAAUAAUAUGGUAGUGUUGCAGUUGAUAGCACAAUAAUAAUUAAAAAUAUUAUAUUACUUUCACAUCAAUCGCGCAUCAAUAUUUAAUUAACUAAUAAUAAUUAAAUUUGUAAAAAUUUGAUUGCAAUAAUUUACAAUAUUCAAGCCAAAAAUUAUAAUAA